CGUGCUGCAAACUGCAAAGUAAAUUGUAAACAUGACAAAUAUAUAAUAUUAUAUUAUUAUAUAAUAUAUAUAUAUUUUGUCAUGAUUGUAAAUUAUAAAUUUACCUAUAACUAACAUGACUAUUAUAAUAUUAUAAUUAAAUAAUAUAAUACGAUAAUAUACAGUCAUACAUAUAGCCUAGUUAAUUGUUAUACGAAUAUUCGCAAUGAAAUAGUUAAUGUUAAUUAUAUAAUGUAUUCGGCAAAACGUCGUGAAAAGUAUUGUUUAUAAUAUUUAUAACUAGAGAGCGGAGAGAAGAAAUGCGGACGACAAUCGACAUGAUUCCGGCGUUGAGGAAGAGCAUAUUAUUUAAGAAUAUUUAUUUUAAAAAUACCUAGUUUGUAGAAUAUUCGAAUACCUAUGACACAUUCACAAUUGAAUUCAAAAUAAUUUUCAAAAAUAAUGAAUAAUUAUUUAAAAGGUAACCGUAUAAAAAAAUUGAAAUUGUUAAGGUUCAAUCGGGUUCAAUUUACGAUAAAGAAAUUCAAAUAAUGUUUGUCCUGGACGGCGUGCAUCUCAAAUGGAAGAGAUAAAUUUGUUUGAAAUCGGUGAAAGUGACAGAUCUUCGAGUCCAGAACAGAUGGAUUAUGACGAGGGUUUGUAUAUUGUUGUGUGAAGCGAGAAACUUUUACACAUAUAAGAUAAGCAAUUACGAUGAGCCGGGCCAAGGACCAGGCCAAUGACGUCACUCGUCUUUUUUCAAUUGCUCAUAACUUAUUGAAUAAUAUUUUGAAGCUGAUGGCAGAAGAGUUAAAAAUGACGCAGACUUGUUCUAUGUGGUAAUAUUUCAAUUUGUUUCUUUAUGUAAUCGAUUAACCCUUACAUGACCUGUAUGGUUUUUCCAAAAAUACGAUAAUGAUAAGAUAUUUGAAAGGUACAAUAAUUGGAGCUGCAGACCACAGUGAAUUUAUAUUGGGCUCAUCGGAUAAUCACCCAAUUAAUGUAAUUGUCAAACAUAAGGAUCGGAAACCUAUGACAAGACUGUCAUUUUUUAAGAAUGUUUUCCUGGCAAUCAAUGUGCUACAUGUCUCCUCUAAGGCGAGAAGCAUGAGUUGCUUACCAGCAACAAGUGACGAUUCAUCAGUGACGAGAAAAAAACAUCUAUAAGGAUGAAUGGAAUUAAAUUGCCUGAUUAUUGAAUCAGGCUUGGUUAACUCAUCCUAUCUCGAGGCUGGCACUAUAAGUGUCUACUAUUAUGGGACAGUUUAUGGACUGAAGGGUGGUAACUUGUGUUCUGUAAUGAGAAAAAUUACAGAAGUUGGAUUUCUUUCUUUGUUGUCCAUUGCAUACAGAAUACCUUAGGUACAAAAGAACAAGCUGACAUAGUUGCUACAGUUAUUGCAAAUUUAAAUUGAUAUUGAGUUUUACUUUGACAAAAUGAAUGAUAUUGAUGUUUAAAAAGAACAUGCUCAAGAAUAAGUAUAAUUGCCAAUAGGAAUUAAAGUAAUUAACUAGAACUUAAUAUUUAUUAGAACAAAACUAAUAAAAUUAAAUUAAAAGCAUAUAAUUAUAGAAAUAUAUCACUUUUAUUUCGAGAUUUCUCACUGGGGCUCAGUAUUCAUAUUUUGUUGUAUUCUGGACCGCCCCAUGGUGGCGAUGUGACUAUAACGUUACCCUUUAUCUAAUUUGCCAGUUUGAAAAAAUCUCCAACAACAAACUCAAUCUUCUCAAGUACGCCAUAAAUCGUGGCAUUUUGCUUGACCAUCACUAUCUUGUCUACGUCAAUAUCUACAGCAAUGACUAUUACAAAUAGAAAAUAUUACAAUUAUUAGAAGCCAAAGAUAAAAGUGCAAAAAAUAUUACAGUACCUUUGUCGAACAGUCGGGCUAGCUGGAUUAUAUUUCCGCCGGCGCCGCAAAACGGGUCCACGGCCACUUUCACCCGGUCACAUUUUUCUGCCAUAUGGUAAUGUCACUGAGUCUCUCGGGAAAGCUCACUAUAAAACCAAACAUACGAUUAUAAUAUAUAUCUUUUUUAUUUUUAACAUGAUAUGAUACAUAAUAUAUAAUAUUUAAAUGUUUUUUUAUACAUGCCCUCGUCCAUCAGAAUACCUUGGUCGAAUUUCGAAAAUAAGGCAUGUCUCUUUUUCCAAUAUUUAUAUGUGCUUGGUCUAUGGGCAAUAUAAAAAAACAUUAUUUAAUUUCUAAUUAUAACUAUGAGUAAAUGCACGUACGUGGUGUCCUCGCGGCUGACGGCUUCACGACGCUGUAGAUCGGCAUUUAAAUAAAUUAUAUUGUGGGAAUACACAUUCAAACUUCAAACUAAAAUCUCCAAAAUCUUAAACAGAAAAACUAUUUAAAAUAUUUAGUUCAUUAAAGAAGGAUUAUUCAAGGGGUACCAGAUUGUCAAUGUUUAAAAAAUUUGACAAGAGUUAAAAUCAUAAAAAAUUGAAGGGAGGUAUUGGCGCCGGCAGACAAAUGCAAUUUAAAAAACCAAAAAAAAAUUAGAAAAAGUACUUCCGAAGGAAAACACAAUACGAAGUUUAAACUAAAAUGCUCAGAUUCUUAAACAGAAAAAACUAUUCAAACUAAUAAUAGGUAGUUCAUUAAAGAAGGAUUAUUCAAAGGGUACCAGAUUGUCCAUGUUUAAAAAAUUUGGCUAGAGUUAAAAUCAUAAAAAAAAAUGAAGGGAAGUGUUGGCGCCUGCAGGCAAAUGCAUUUUAGAAAACAAAAAAAAAUUUAAAUAAAUUAUAUUGUGGGAAUGCACAUUGUAAUGAUAUGCUCACACACCAUUAUAAUAAACUAAAAUUUUACAGAAUAAUAAACAACGGCCAGACUGUCGCUUGUAGAAAUCGGUCGCAUCAAAUAAAACCAUUGACAACGACAACUAAUAAUUCGACACGCACUCAUAACAAUAUUACGUAGGAUGAGUGUGACCUUAUUUUAUGCUGACGCCAAAGAAUAAUCUAGUUCCCAGGCCCACAAGAAGUUAGUGACAAAGCCACCCUCCACUCUCUGGUCAGCAUUCUCGCGUCCGUCCCUUAAACCAGUGCAUGAGCACCAACCACUGCAGUAACAACCUCUCAAGUACCAAAGAAAACCGAUUUCAACGAGCGACAACUGGACUUCUUAUGCAAGCAAUAAUCAGUGCGUUCGUUAAUUCAAUCUGUGUAUUUGAAGUAGUACUUUAUUUUAUCUAAAACCAAAAACUCUUAAAAUAUUGUCUACGAACAACUGCGAAUCAGGUAAGGCAUAUGAUAUAAUAUUUCAUGUUGAUUGCAGUCAAUACGUUCUAUGUGCUUUUUUCCAUAAAAUUAUAUUGUACGGUGUAUUUGUUAUAAUUCUCGAAUACACUAUCUCGAGAGCCCUCCGAACACCUGGAGGAAAGUAAUAGCGUAACUUUACUAUUCUAACUUGUACCAUUUUAAAUUUAUUAUCGACAGGAGUCGUAUUUAUAUUUUGUUAUAUGUUAUCUAAUUUUACGUUAUUACAAAGUGGCGCCCAACACAAGUUCAGUUUAUUCAGAUAAAUAAAC